CUGCCAACACUUGUUGUUGUCUGUGUUUUGGAGUUUGGCCAUUCUCACAGGUAUGUAAUGGUAUUUCAUUGUGGUUUUCAUUUGAAUUUUCCUAAUGAUAUAUGAUGUGAAACAUUUUUUCAUGUUUAUAUCUGCAUGUCUAUUUUAUCAAUGUAUCUAAUCAGGGCUUUUGCUCAUCUUUUAAUUGGGUUGUUCAUUUUCUUAUUGUUGGGUUUUAAACUUUGUUGUUGUUGUUGUUGUUCACUUUGGAGAAUAGUACUUUAUCAGAUAUAUCUUUUACAAAUAUUUUCCCCAGUCUGUGAUUUAAGUUCUUGUUCUCUUGACAGUGUCUUUUUUAGGGCAGAAAUGUUUAAUUUUAAUGAAGUCCAGCUUAUCAAUUAUUCCUUUCAUGGAUUGUGUUUUUGGUGUUGUAUGGCCUCUGACUUUUGACUAAAGCUUUAUCUUCUACCUUUCUUCUGUGAAUAGUAGGGACAGAGGGAGUGAGAUCCUUAAGGUCACUGUUGUCAUGUAGCUCGUAUUCCAGUAUAGAGACAGAUCAUAAAUAUGAACAAAUAAGAUAAUUUCAGAGAAUAUAAGUGUAACGAUAUAUAUGAAAUAAAAACUUGAUAGACUAUAACUGUGAACAUUGGCCAUGUGGUGAGGGAAAUCCAUACCGGGGAGAUAAAAUCUGAGCUGACACCAUCACAAGAUAAAAAGACAGUCAUGCAAAUAUCUGUGGGGGCAUGGGUCAGUCUUCAGACAUCUCUUCAUGCUGGCUUGUUUUCUUAUUAUUGUUUUGGGUUUUUUUUUUUUUUUUCUGCCAUAGCAUUUCUCUACUCAUACCUGUGCAUGGAAGUUCCAUCCUGCUUUGAAUGCCACCUCCUGUAGGAAACUUACCUGAGCCUCCUAAUUUAAUGCCUACCUAUAUUGCUGCUGAUGAUCCUCUCAGUAGUAAGGACAGCAUAUUCUCUCUGUUAGUCUUGGUUAUUUUAAUUACUGGAAAUUGGACCACUUAAAUGGCCAAAAGAAAUAAGAGGUGCAUAUAUUGGUUAAUAAGCAUGCCCUUGAAAAUGAAUCACUGGUAAUACCUUUCCCAGCUAUACUUUCUAACUUUGAUGCAGUUUUUGAAGGGAGAGUUUUACUAACUAUGACAUCAUCUAUCUUUGUGCCAUAUAUACAUCAGGAGCUAAUAACCUGUCUGUUGAAUAAAUCUUUGCAUUCUGCUUAUCAUUGUCAUGAAUGGUAUAUCGUUCUAAUAUUUUUGAGCACUAAUAAUGUGCCAAAUCCUGUGUGAGGAAUUCCUUAUGCAUGGUCUUUUUAAAUCCUUGUAAGUAGCCUGUGGUUAUUUCUGCUGUACAGGUGUUUUCAGCAAAAUAGUUAACUGUAACAAUAACAUCAAGACAAAAGUUAUUCUUUGAUCUUUUAAGGGGAAUCCGAAAAACUUGGGCAACAAUUGCCCUUUUAAAAACUUUCAACUAGUCUUCCCUUUCCUGUUAAUCAAAUGAAACACAUUGGUGGUGGCCUGGGCUGAUACUGAGUGACAGCAGUCACACCUGUAACUAUUUCCAGGCCAUUGCAGUGCUUGGAAUAUGUGCAACAUUUGUUUCUUGGUUCCUAUUGAUUUUUUCUUCCUUGACCCUUCCCCCCGCCAAUGCAAGCUUCCAACUUUUCCCCAAAAUUAUGGGAUGUGCUUCACCAUUGCUUUCCUCUGUGUUUGGCAUUUCGAGCUGCUUUGCUUAAUAGAACAUGAGUAUAGGUGACAGGGCUCCAUUUCUAAGCCUUAAGAGAGUCUGGUGUGUUUCCAGUUAUCCUCUUAUACCCCUGGCAUCUCCCUGAGAAGAGCUUUCCCUAGAUUACUGAAAUCGUGAAAAAUAGCUGACCCAAUGACCAUCCACCAGAGACUACAGCAUGAACUAGCGGGACAGCAGCCCCCAGAAACUUUGAGUUGAGUCACAACAUGAGAAAUAAUGUGCUUUUUAUACAUCACUCUUGUUGUUGGUUGACUACUCAGCAAUAGUAAAUUUAUAUUGAUUAGAAUAAAAUAAUGAGUUAUUUUCUUCUAUUUACAUCCCUCCUACUUCACAGGCAGACCGUGGGAAGGGAGGUGGCAGUGCUCGGAGGAGUGGCCAUUACAAAAAUCAGUAUUUCCCUUCAUUACAGCCUGUUUAGUCUUGGACACAUUGUCAUUUUCCCCUUUGAUAGAGUUUUCUCUUUUUUUUCCCUAGAUUACUUAUUUUGCCUAAAUCAGUUUAAGUAGGAUUGUUAGCUUAAGCAAACAUGCUCAGUAUUUUUUUUUCUAUUAAAGAAUAUUAUCUUAAACACUCUAAACCUUAAAAAGAACAACAAAGCCAACAGGACAAAAAGAUGUAGAAAAGAAGCCCCUGUGGGCUGGAACACUCUAUUUUGCUGUCUGGGAGAGGAUACAGUGGGGAGAUGGCUCUAGAUGAGGUGCAGGCGUGAGUUGGUUUCACUCACUUUUCACCGUGGCCGGCUUUGUCUGCUUGUCCCAAAUUUAGAGCUUCGGUUUCACAAAGUAUCUUUGAAAAAGAGGUCUUCAGAGGCACUUGUCUGUUAUGAAUAACUAGGGCAUGGCAAGACCUUAUUGGAUAUUGAUAGAGCGAAUGAACAAAAGAGUAAAUGAAAGAAUAAAUACUCCCAUCCACUAACCAACCGAUCAAUGAAUCAAUGAGUGUGAAGAAAAGAAAGGCCAGGUGGAAGAUUAUCAAUUAUAACAACAAUACAGGCUGAAGAAGCAACACCUUAGACAGGCUAGACUUGUGGCAUAGGGACCAUACUGGCCGAUACAGAAGAGUCAAAUGUUUUUUAUCAGUUAAUCCUUGAAAAAGACACAUGCCAAUUCCACUCACAUUCCAUGUUUGGAAAAUCAAAGAACUAGUCCUGCUGUCAGUCCAGUGGAAGAGUAGGAUCCUAUCAGAGGGAAAGGCAGUGAAUAAUUGGAUACUGUAGUUCAAUCUUAGCAGAAAAUAUAGGUAUUCCUUAUAAUGUCUAUCAGGAUUAGAGCCAUGUUUUCACUAUCAGCCAAACCCAAGUUGGACUUAUUUAGCUGCAAUGAGAUGUAAAUUUCAGCACACAGACAUGUAAAAAUAUACACUGAGGAGAGAAACUGUUCAUAGAAUUCCAACCGCAUGUCUUGGCCUCUGUUUAACAUACACUAUAUAAUCAUAUCCCUUCAAGAGUAGGUUUAGCCCUUUCAGAAGAAAAUGGAGAAUAAGCAGGAAUUUAAUGUAGAAAUUAAUUAAAUUUAAUGUCUAGUGAAGAAGAAACAUUUUAAAAAUAAUAUUAUGUCCAUAUAGAAGAUCAUUAAACAACUAUGAGAUUAUAAUUUUAAAAGCAUUAAAAGGUUCACAUUAUAAUAAGCACGGGGAAAAAGAAGGAUAUUACCCACAUACAUUUCUAUACAUAUUAUUGUAAUUUGGCCAAAUGUGCAUAUUUAUAUAGAAUAAUAAUUGAAAGAUUAUAUCAAAAUAUUGACAACAUUCAUAGGUAGUAAGAUCAUAGACCAUAUAAAAUAUACCCAUUUCCAUGUUUCAGUUCUCUACAAAAUGCUUUAUGUUACUUUAAUAUUAAUAUGUAAAAAAAUGCUUAAAUAAAAGUUGAAAGUUAUAUGUGCCAUAUAACUAAUCCAAGCAUCUUCAGGCAAAUGGGUCCGCUGAGAUUUAAGUCCAGGUCUGUAUGUUUUACUCAUUAUGUCAUACAACCUUCUUAAAGCAUUUUUGCCAGUCUCUCAUUCUCUUUCCAAGACAUUUGUCCUCCACAUUUCAUUCUGCUCUGAGAUAAGGGUUGGUUUCCCUAGUCUCCCAGGCAGUAGGGGCACAGAACCCAGAAAAUUUAGCUGUUGCCUGAAUACUCUUGCAGUCCUUAUGAGAUCCUUCUUUACUUAGCUGGUAUCUUUGGAUUUGAAUUUUUUACAGUAAUAGCAGUGUCUGACAGCCUUUUCAUCUCUGUAACCCUUUCACAUUCCAGAACUUUCUUCAAUGACAUGGCCUUACUUCUUCCUACAUUAGUAUGACACAUAGAAAAUACUUCUCUGAAGAGAUUUAGAAUUGAGUAGAAAAAAUGAACCUCCCCCCCCCCCCCCCUUGGUACUAGGAAUUGAAUCCAGAGGCACUUAACCACUGAGCCACAUCCUGGGCACUUUUAUUUAUGUUUUAUUUUGAGACAGGGUUUUCCAAUUUGCUGAGGGUCUCACUAAAUUGUUGAGGCUGAUUUUGAACUUGUGAUCCUCCUGCCUCAGCCUACCAAGUUGCAUGUGACACCCCAACCCCCCAGCACUAAAAGCUACUUCUUUUUUUUAAUAUUUAUUUUUUAGUUGUAGUUGGACACAACACCUUUAUUUUUAUUUAUUUAUUUCUAUGUGGUGCUGAGGACCGAACCCAGGGCCUCGCACAUGCCAAGCAAGCACUCUACCACUGAGCCACAGCCCCAAACUUCUUGAUGAAACAUAUUUAGCCAAAAAUUGGGGUGAGCAUUUUAUAAUACAGGACCAAUUCUUAUAUUUAAAAAAAAUCUUUGCUGCAACCCUCUAAUAAAAGCAUUUCCAAAAACAAAAAUAAAACACUUCUCUGUUAACAAUUUUUAAGAACUCAGCUUUGCAGGGUCAUAAUUUAGAUAAAAGGCUAACAACACUCAACCUAAAGUGGACUGUCAACAAUUUAUUUUCCUUAAAAGAUGUAGUACUCUGCUAUCGAACCUCUAUUAAGACUUAAUUGUAAGGUGCUAAUAGAUUUGGGAAAGGGGCAGUUUUCCAUUACUUUAAUUAAAGAGUGAAGAUUGAAGAACUGAUCUGUUUGGCUACCUCAGGCUGUAAGUGCUGUGUUCGUUGGUUUCUAGGAAACAACCAAGUUCAUUGCAUUUUAGGCAUCUCUUGGCCAGGAGGGCAUUUUGGGGGAUCCUUGUCUCCUUGGGGCAGUUUUUUUCAUCCAUCAGGCCUUCUAUUGUUUAUAUCUACCAUUCUUCAAGAUAAUUUUUCUCUGCUGGCUAUUUUUUAUGAUAGAUUUUUUUUCACAUUUCACUGGUUCUAAGGAAGAAAAAUGCCAUUUUUGACCAUAGAAAUAUCAUUUUUUGCCCAUAUCAUAAUUCUGUGAUGGGUCUAUUAGCAACUAGAAAUGAUACCCAGCAGGUAGAUUCUCCUGAGAAAAAGGGUUUACCCUUAACAAUAUUUUCCAUUGGAUCAGAGAACAUACUUGUGUUGAAUAUUUGAAGAAACUAAAAUGCUUGUUUUAAAAAUUCUUAAGUAUUUGCCUUAUUCAUAUUCCUUUAUUUUUAUCAUUUUCCUUCUCUAUGCAUGUGAGUGUUUUCCCUUCUUGUAAGAAGAUGAGCUUUUCUGAAUAGGUAUCUCCACUUUAUACUUUAGGAAACGGGUUCGGAAUGGCUUGUUGACUUGCUCUGUUUAGUUCUCACUCCUCCUGUGCCUUCCUGAAAGACUGCCUCAGGGCUGCCACAGCAAUGCACCACUGAAUGGGUGGCUUAACGACUGAAAUUUAUUGCCCAGUGUUCUGGAGGGUCUAGUUUGAGAUCAAGAUGUCAGCAAUCUGGCUCUUUCUAAGGGCUUUGUUGGAAGGUUCUGUACCAGGCCUCUCUCCGUGGCCCAGAGACAGCUGCCCUGGUGUUCACACGGUGUUCUUCCCAAGUGGGAGUCUUUCUCCAAAUAUCCUUCCUUUUAAAUUUAACACAUAAUAAUGGUACAUAAGUAGGGUACAAUGUGUUAGUUUGAUACCUAUUUAUAUAAUACGUAAUGUAAUCAAAUCAGUGUACUAAUUAGCAUUCCCAGCCCUUUCAACAAUUACUAUUUCUUUUUUUUUGGGGGGGGGGAAGUCUCUUUAUUUCUUAGUAAAAAUAAAACAAAUUGCUAUAUAGCCACACUACUAUGCUGUAGAACACUAUCUAUCUAACUGUAUGUUGGUACCUGUUAUCCCAUUUCCUGCUACACCCCUAUGCCUCCCCUGCUUAGCUUCUAGUGACCACUAGUCUACUGUCUACUUUUAUGAGAUCUACUUUGGAGCUUGUUCAAAUGAGCAGACACAUAAAAUAUCUGUGUUUCUGUGCCUGGUUUUACAUAUAACUUUUUUUUUUUUAAUGAAGAUACUAGUUACAAGGAUUAGAGUGUGCCCCUAGGACCUCAUUUUAACUUGAUUAUCUACAAAGAUCCUGCUCCACAUAGGAGGUCCUAGGGAUUAGGAAUCCAGCACAUGAAUCAUGGAGAGCACAGUUCAAACUGUAACAGUAAAUUCAUGAAAACCAAUGUGACUAACCACUCCCUAUGGAUUAUGGAAUAAAGUCUGAGUCUCUUCUUAUGAUCAGAGUCUCUUCUUUCUGGUGUGCUCAGCCUCUGCCUAGUCUACCAAUACAUAGCAGAAACUGGCUGUACUGAACCUCUGGGGAAAUGGGCUAAUAUUUAUUGAGCACUUAAGACAUUGUGCUAAGUGCUUCACAUUUGUAAAUAAUGUAAAUCUAUGACACUGAUCCACUAAUGGUCACCUUAGCAUAGACUCAUUUGUCCAAUUUACUCAUUCGAUUCAUUCAAUAAAAUUUUAAAUGCCUAAUCUGACCAAAUUUUGUUCACUUUGCUGGGAGUACAGCUGUCAUCAACAAAAUGGGGGAAAAACCCGUAGUUUCAUAAGCUUAUAUUCUAAUUGGAAAAAAAAAACAGAUACUAAAAAAAUUAAACCAUUUUAUAGCAUACUCAAGGUAGAAAGUGCUGCAGAGAAAAUUGGGACAGGAAUGGAAGUGCUUCAGAAGCAAGAUGCAAUUUUUAAAUAUUCUUUGAAAUAACUUUAUAUAUUGAAAAGUCAAAGGAAUACUCUGAAUUCAGAUUUCUCAAAUGUUAUUCUGAAAUAAAUUUAAACUUAUAAAGAAAUUGUAAAAAGAGUACAAAAUGUCACAUAGACCCUUGAUUCAGAUUCCCCAAUUGUUCAUUUGCUAAAGUUUAUUCACAAUUUCUCCCUCUUCAAUCUCCUCUUGGUGUAUCUCUCAGACUCUCAUGAAUUCCCAGUAUGAUUCCAAUUCCAGUUUUCCCACUGUCCUUGGAUCCUGGACAUUCCACUUUUGCCUGCUCAUCCCGAGGACCCUGCCCAUUGUCUUUCCCACUCCUGUGGCUCUCUCAGGACCCUGCCUUGACACUCCAGCCUCUGAAAUACUUCCAUCUCUUCCAUCCACACGCUGCUAAAUUUCAAAGGCAUGAAAGGAAAUAGACAGGAAGAAAAGGAGAGCCCGUUGACUCUCUAAAUACAGUUGUACAGAUCGUAGCUUAGAUGAUUAAUUUAUGCCAUCUCACCCAGUGAGUAGGCAGUAGAACCUUUCCAUGCAACGUGAGAAAUACAACUCAUCUUAGCCACCGUUCUGUGUUUUCUUGUCUUGUCAUGAAGAAACUAAGGAAUAUAAAUAAGAAAUUUUCUGGAUCUUUUAUGCUAUGUACCCAUGCAGUGUCUUCAGCAGGAAAUCCUCCUUUUCUGCUGCCUCAGAAAACACAUACUCUCUGAAACUCAGAGCAACCCUGGUGUUGAGUAAAAGUGCUUCUAGUGCUCUAUUACUAGAAUAAAAUGGAACACUCCUGUCUCCUCUGUCCUGCCCUGUGCAGGCUUCAGGCCCAUCUCCACUAGUGCGCAGGCUCAUGGCCAUCUACCCUGCAGGUGGCCUCCCUACAGCAGUGAGAGGGUUUGUCACAAUUGUUCCUUAUAUCUUCAGGUACUCACUGGGCACUAAGAAAUGGUUAUUGAAUCCACAAAACAAUUUAAAAGAGUAGCCAAGUCUUACCAUUUUUCUUUCCUGGAAGAGUUCCUGUAUAUGAUAUAUAAUAGGUCGUGUAUUAACAUUUUAUUAAUAAGAGAAAUAUUUGCACUCCUGGUCUCACAAGUGAGGUAUUUAAAAUGGGAUUUUAUUUUGUUACCCAAACUCUCUCUCUCUCUCUCUCUCUCUCUCUUUUAAAGAGAGAGGGGGGGAGGAGAGAGAGAGAAUUUUUUAAUAUUUAUUUUUUAGUUUUCGGUGGACACAACAUCUUUAUUUUAUUUUAUGUGGUGCUGAGGAUCGAACCCAGUGCCCCAAGCAUGCCAGGCGAGCGCACUACUGCUUGAGCCACAGCCACAGCCCAUCAAAACUCUCUUUAAACACAAAACUGCUCACAUUUACACGAAGAGAGGGAAAAUCUCUAAAUCAGUCUUUCUGAGAUCUUCAUGAGAGGAAAAAUAAUUCCUAUCUCAAGGAACAGGAUAUACAUGGCAGAACUGAGAGACAGUGACUACCCAUAAAAGUGUGAGCUGUGGCUGCUCUUUCUAGGAAUGGAUGAAGCCAUCAAAGACCAAAGGAAUGCAGCCCAGAACUGUGACCCACACCACUCAACCUGCCUCUGAGACCUCACUCCUGCCUGGUUUUAGUCUCCAUGUGAGCCAUGUUAAGCUAAGGUCUGGAUUUGGUGUCUUGAUUAAUAUUAGAUGCAUAUUACAAAGUGCACAUCCAUAUUUUGUAGACCAUCAACUACAGGACGUGGAGUACUCACCCUGUGGGAUAGAGAAGUAGGUUUAGCUUUACCCCAUUAAAAAUGGGUAUUCUGAAUCUAGAUUGCUGUGAUUUGCAUCCUGCUUCUGCUACCUCACAUAAUUGCCUUACAUAAUACUUGGUCAGCAAGAGGCAGGGCUGGGAUGGACCCAGGCUUGACUGAGCAGAGCCCAGACUCAGCCCUUGACCCUGAAUAUAUGCCGGCUGAAGCCCACUCUUGCAACUCCAAAUCCUUCUCUUUGGUCACUUUGUGACCAAAGGAAGAUGGUUCCCAUUCUGCUACACUAUAAUUUUUGAUGGCUAGAGCUAUUCAUAAUGAGCACAACUGAGAAUUAUAAAGUCCUCCCAUCCCUUUCCCAAUGGAAUUCAUUAGGCUGCAAAAUAUGGAAUUCAAAUAGUUAUUAUCCAAUUUCUUAAAGAUGUCUUGUCCAAAUUUACUCAUUACAUGCCAAAGACUCUCCAGCUCCUAUUUAAAAUACUCAUCUAUUUUAUUCACCUAAACAUAAUGAAUGAAUUGUUGAUAAAAUUUGUAAUAAUCCUGGACUUAAUAUAAAUAAUGCAAUUAUAGCAUGUUUUGUUGGGCCCUCAUUUCCUCCAAAACCUUACAGCCCUUAUGUAUUAGGCUAUACAAAGUACUGGAGUAUUUUAUAAACAAAAGAGGUGUAUUUGGUUUAUAGUCUUGGAAUCUGAAAGUCUAAGAUCAGAUAGUCCACUGGUUCAAGUCUCUGGUGAUGGCCUCAUAGACCACAUGUGGUGAGAGAGCAAACCUGAGAGAUUUAGGAGCCAAGUUUGAUUUUGAUUGUAACAACUUGCUCUUGUGUGAAUGAACAAGUCUUGUAAAAGCUACAUAAUUUCCUUCACCAGGCAGAUCCCUCAAUACCUAAUCACUUUGUAUUAGGUGAUACCUCUUAAAGGUUCUACCAUCACAGUAUUGCCUCACUGAUGACCAAGCUUCUAGCACAAGAACCUUGGAAGACAUUCAAAUGUACCCAAACCAUAGAACUUUGUAUCUUUAACACAUGUAUGUGAUACUUUAGUGUUUUCCUUCCUGUUGGAUUACAGGUCUGAUAACCCUUGCAUAGUAUCUAUUUGUUACUCCAAUAAAUCACUAUUCUUGAGAGUUUUUAUUAGGGUAAUAUUAAUUUUAUCUCAAUAAGAACUUGGCUAUGCUUUUACCCCAUACAUCAACAUAAAUGUUCAAUUAAUUUUCGAAGUAUUGGGCACUGAACUCUUCUAGUACAAAUUAGAUCCUAAUUAAUGCUUCUCUUCUUGCUCAUUUAUGUGGAAUCUUCUAUUUUUUUUUCCUGUCAGAGCCUAUGAAAGUGUGUAAAUUUCAUUAAUUGUUUUUACUAACUCAUUAAAUGGGUUGUAGAACAAAGUAGCAAUUUGGAAAAUUAUAGGCAUCCAACACCUACAUUUGAAAGAGAUUCAACAUUCUAAAAGAUACUGUUAACUAGAUGGUAAUUAAAAACUGCAGGGAGAAUGCUUCACAGCAAGAUCUGCAAUGAUUUAUUUUGAUGAAUUUCUGAAAGGAGAUAAACAAAUUCCUUAAAGAAUACAUCUAAGUUCCAUGAAAUUACAGCUGUAGAAAUGGUGGAAAUAACAGGUAGUGCAUGGUGGAAAGGAAUAUGCCAUUUAAUAUGUUUCAAUACAAAGGUUAUUAGAAGAUAUUUAAAAAUAUUUGAACAUUUUGAGGGAAACUAAAUAUUAAUAGAAUAUAUUUUACUUCCAAGUUUUAACAACUCUGAUCUAAAGUUCCUUUAUGCUCAUUUUAAGGGGAAACAACUGAGGCCUGGGGUUAUUAAAGUAAUCUGUGCAAUGCUCCUCUUCAGGCAUAAUUCCCAGGGGAGGGUCCCAGGUGAAAAUGUGAAGCCAAUGAAACUGAAAAGAAUUGAAGGAUGGUGGACGUGCCUGGAGAAGAGGAGCUGAGGACCAUGUGGUCAGGACAGCACAUGCAGAGUUUUCUAGGAAGUAUCAAGGAUCUGGGGUUUUAUCUGCCAUGUUUUUAGAGACUCCCUCUCUCCAAAAUAUGAAGAAAUGCUUGGAGAGAAUGAGUGCCAAGUCUUUGCAAAGUCCUGGGACAUAUGACUGCAUGGGCAACAGAGGGCAGAGAGGAGUUUCUGAGCCAUUGAUUAUGUGAGGGUGAUGGGAAUCACUCAGCAAAGGCUGGUGAUGAGGAGAAGUGACAUGUGAGGGUGACUUUCAGGUUUUCAGACUUGCUCAACAGCAGGAAGAAGGACUCUUGAGAGAGCAUCGGCAAGAGAAAUUAACAUGCAAUUAUCUGAGUUUGCUUCAUGUCAACAAGAGUUACAUUAUGACAAAAAAAAAUGUAUUUGAAUAUUCAGACAUGGAGAUCAGAGAAGAUAUCAAUACUGAGGAUAUAUGUUGGAAAGAAAAUUAAGGAAUAUUUUUAAAAAUUAUUUCAGUUUCUCAAAGCAUUCUUUGAUUUCUUAUAUCAGAAACUCUUGCAUGACACAUGAAUCCAUGCUUUUCAGACUUUAAUAUGCCUUGAAUCACCUGAGAUUGGUGUAUUGAGGAACAGGAAGGCUCUAGAGUCCGGUUGCUUUGGUUUGAAUCAGUUCUGACACCAGAAAGCAUCAAUCAAUUUAAGUAAUUUAGUGUCUUUGUGCCUCUGUAGUUUUCUCUUCAAAACAGAGUGGAAAAUAAUAUUUACCUCAGAUUUUUUUUUAAGAUUAAAUAAGAUAAUGAUGAAAAAAAAGUACAUUAGUUUAUGUGACAUCUUUAGAAUACUUAUUGGCAAGUAAUAGACAGUCAAAACAGUCUACACUAAUCACUACUGUUUUCCAGAGGAAUUGUAAACAUGUGGAUUCACAGACCUCCACAACACAGGAUUUGGAUGUAUAAACAUUAACUUCUAGAGUAAAGUAGACAUUGCAGUGCCGGUUUCAAUUCCAGUCUAAAACGCAACUGGAGACAGAUGACAGGGUGAUCCUGGACUUUAUCACACCUGUUAAAUCAAUCUUUUAUUUCAUAAAAUGGGAAUCUGAGAAUCUAAAUAGACUUACCUGGUUCUAGUGCCAGUAUUCACCCAUGAAUGUGAGAGAAAGUGAAUUGUGUCACCUUCCACAAUGCCUGUAAAAAGCAAGCACUCCUUUCUACAUUCUUCCCCCUUUGGCUUACCAAUGCAGGGUCACUUCAUCUCAGUCCACAUGCUAGACUCUAAUGAUACUAGGAACAAAAAGGGUUUUUGUUUGUUUGUUUUUGUUCCUGGAACAUAAGUCUACAUCUGAACCACCUCAGUUUUUUUUUUUUUUUGUUGUUGUUUGUUUGUUUGUUUGUUUACUUAUUACUAGUUGAUUGCAUUUUUAAAGUUUUUAUUUAUUUAGUUUAUACUACUUAGAAAAGUACAGGGUGCAUUUGGGAGACUCUUUUAAAUUUUAGUAAAAAGCAUAGCAGAUUAGUGGAAAUCAGCAGAUUUUUGUUUGGUGUCAUUGUUUUUUAAUGGCCUAGAAAAGGUUUUGUCUGAAAGAAGGAGAUGGAUCUCUGCUCUGUAUCUCUUCAGACAACUAAGCACCUCUUUUUGUAAAAUACAAGAAUGUCGUUUGUAUUUAGAUCAUUACUUAAAGUAAUAAAAACAUUGGCAAGCAGUGUAAACAUCAAUACUCAUGAAUUAUUAUUCUUUUUAAAUGUUGGCUAAAUUUACAUAUAGAUUAAACUUAAAAUUUAUGAAACGUGAUUUUCUUUCAUUCUGAUGGCUUAAUGCCACCAUAUUUUAUGGGUGAGGUUCUUUUCACAAAAUGCUCUACAUUUUUCCCAUGUCGCUGAGAAUAUGGAAGACCCCGUAUUUGGCCGACCCCAUGGCGUUAAAUUGCAAAUUGAAUUUGAGAUGGCAGAGAAGAAUGUGUUGGAGUGUGACUGAGGCUUGGAAAUUGGAACAACAUAGAGCCAACACACAUGGCCAAAGGAACUCAUAAUGAAACUUCCUCCUCUCCAGAGGGGGUUUAUCAAGAGCCAGUUUCAUCACUGAGGACAUAUGUUUCAUGUCAGCUUCUGAUCAACACUCACACAACACGUUCCCUGCAUGGAGACCUUGAUUUCCUUUCUUGGAGCUUUAUUGCUUUUACACAAUACAUGUGUGCACACAUCAAGUACAAAUAUAACCCUAAGCUGAGAACUUCCCCACAUAUCUUGACUGUGGGUAAAACUGAAAACAUACAUUGAAGAUUUAUUUGCAACACUAGUGACAGAAUCUAACAUUUUUGGUGGCUCCCACAACAUUAAGUUGCAAAAGGAUUUUGAAAUGUAACAACAGGAUAUGGUGAAAAGUGGCCAGAGUCUGGAAAAUAGGAUAAGGUUGAGUUAAUACAUGGGAAACUUAUAAUCGUCCUUCCUGCUUGCUAAUGAGGGUUGACAGACACAGGUUUAAUUAUUGAGGACACGUUUGAUGUCAGCCUUUGAUCAGUGCUGAUUCAGUCUGCUCUCUGCAUGGAGAAGGCCUUACUCUUCUUUCCUGGGAGUCUAUACACAUACACAUGUGCAUGCACGUGCACAUACACACUCACAUUUCCCAUAUGCCUGAUUUUGGGUAAAAGAGAAACCACAUCCUCAUCUUUUCAUCUCCAUUCCUUUAAGCUGUACAUCUCCAGGGUUUCUCGUUGUGGUUUUAGAAACAAAAUCUGACUUCUUGCUUCUCACCUCAUUCUGUAUUUUCCCCUCAUGGGCAUGUGCUGCUACACAGUUAGCCUCUUACUGAUCACGCACACCCAGAGAAACAACCACAUAUAACAAGAGCCACAGGCUUUGCUCUCCCUCCCUCUUCUCCUCACUGAGACACUGCCCAGUCUCUCCAUCCUCCCAAAUACUAAUUUUCUCAUCUGUUAACAGUAGUUUGUAAUAUACUGUAAUGCAGACAUUCUGAAAUCAUUGGGAUUAUUAAACGAGUCUGUGAUGUCUGUUUCUCUAUGUCUGUUUCAGUUACUUCUUCCACCUCUCUCAAUUAACAAAGAGAAACCUGGGACAGAUGUCUAUAGUCAGAUUAGGAGAAUUCUCCACUAGCUACUAGCUUAAAUUCCCCAAAUGGCCUUUUUAGGACAUCAGUGGGAAAGGGAACUGAAGUCAGUGGGAGAAGGAAUAAAAAUUGACCAGUGAGGCAUGCACAGAAUAUCAUUAAGACAAUCAGAGAGUUUUGAUCAGAAUAUUAUUAAGUCAAUAUGAGAAUCUGGGUUAUUUCUGAAAACAUGGUUUGUGGCCUGGCAGAUUCACCUCAGGUGCUGGUUGAAUAUUGAGAUUUCUGGAUCCUAAUUUCAGAUUCAUUAAAAAGGAGCUUUUGAGGUGGGUCCUGAGACACUGCGUUUUGAACAAGAUCCCCUAUAGAAGCUAGCACAUCAAUAUGUGUGAGAUCCACUGGCCCAGUGUACACCAACUGCAGGUGAGUUUCAAAUAGGAUGUAAAUUAACAAGAUACUCAACUGUAAAUUAUAUUCCAAUUUGAUAUAUUAAAAUAUCAAAGAAUAAAUAUCCCUCCCCCUUUCCCUUAGCCCUAUCCAGAGCUAUUCUCAGCUGGAUCUCAAAAAAAAAAAAAAAAAAAAAAAAAAAAAAACAACCUCAAAUUGAUCCCCCAUAGCUGAGAGAGUGAUAAAAUAUAGCCCUGGCAGGUAUAGAAGCCAGUGUGCUCUAAAUCUUCACAAAUUCCUCUUGCAAGUACAAAGGUAUAACUUAUCAAAAAAUGCCUUGAAAAUCAACAUCAACCCCAUGAGCUCUAAAAAGAGCCCGUGUUCCUCAAGGCCAAGAGCAGUGGUGGAAUUGGCAAAGUAAGUCACAGUUCUAGCAUCCUCUUAGCAUUAUCUCCUGCUCCACAGAGCAGGCAUGAAAUGAAAGCCUUUCCUUGAGGAAAAUAUUAUCUCAUCAGUUCCAAGCCAAAAGCUACAGCUAAAAUACCUCAUUCCUUCUGCUCAGUUUCACAUGUGUUUUAACACCUGCAUGAUGCGAUUCUCUUUCACUCCCAGGGUCCAUGUUAACCAGUGAUGUGUUUUUGAUUUUUGUUUUGCAGUAAGUUAGGAGUAAAGAUCAAUGUAUCCUAUGAAUUUGUUUUCAACCUCCAAAAUCAGGAAUGAAGUUUUAUUUUUCUUGCUUCGGUUUUGAGCAGGGUACCAAAAAAAAAUCCUUCUUUCUCACUGAUUUUUCCUAUCAUGCUGAUUUGUACAAAAAUGGCAAGGGAUUCAGAAUGGGGCUAGUACAAUCACCUGGAUCAUAUUGUUCUUGCAUUCUUCAUGUACCAUAUAUAUUCCAUGUGCUUUGAUGAAGAAGUUUUGUAUUAGGGCAUGUUAGUUGUACAGGACAGUGGGCUUCAUUGAGGCAUGUGCAUAUAUACCUAUAAUGUAUCUUGAUAAUUGGCAAGCCCCAUUGACCCUCCUCACCCUUCCCUCACCCCUCCUUGAGCACAUGUUUUUACCUACAAAGCACAGGCCAACAGACAUAUACUCUCAUAUGCUUUAGUCUAUGCAUAAACUGAAUAGAUCAUUGUAGGGAAGCAAUCUCCAUAGCUGGACUUACUGACACUUGGUUCUGCAAAAUACAAGUUUAAACACUAAUUGCAUUUAGUAUUAGCCUGAUUCUCACUACUUUAUUAUUUUCCCAGGAAGAGGGUCAAAAUGCAGAAACUUGUUUUUGAUUUUGUUUUGUUUGUAAUAGAUGGGUCUAUAACAUGGCAGAAACUCCAAAAUGGAAACAGGUAACCCCCUUCUCCUUAGGCAUGUGGUAUAUCCUAAACCCUGUACAAUGUGCUUGAUGAAGCAAGGCAAAAGAAGCACGUGAACUUAGAAAAGGAAUAUGUUUCUCAAGAUCACGAAGCUAGUAAGCAAAGGAGUUGGAUCUCCUAUUCAUGGUUCAUUGGCUUACUGAUACCCCCAGUGCCCACAACUCACUGUAUGCAUCACAGUCCUUCACCCUGGGAUGCAGUAGUAGAUUGAAUAGGCACAGUCAGUGCCUUAUAAAACUUUCAUUCUAAGGAAGUGAUACACACACACAUAGAGAAAUACAUAAGUAUGGACUAUAAGUGCCAUGGAGAACAAUAAAACAAGAUAAGGACUAGAAAUUAAUAAGGUGACAUGUAAACUUAGAUAGGGGUCAGAGGAGGCAUUUAUAAGGACACAAUAUGGGAACAAAGGAGACUGAGUGAUGGGAAGAAAUGAACCACAAGAGAAUUUGAAAGACAUGUGAAUCUUAAUAUGACCACCAGUCCCUCCAUGAUUGCUUCCUUGUCCUCCCUUAUAAUCUCAUGUUUCCUAUUAUACCCUGUAUGCUAAGCAUUCCUGUGUUUUACAUUGUCACCUAGUGGGCUAUUUACCAUCUUAAUUAACAAUUUUCACCCAACUCAUCCCUUCUUUCUGCUUUUAGGAUUCCCUCUACAAAGGCUCUGUCUGGCUGUUUUCUACUCCCCAGUCACUGAGCUUGUGUCCUGCUAGCACAAUCGUCUCAGGGUACCAUUUUUCUGUUCUCUGUAUUUCAUGUUAAAUGUAAGACCUAUGGAAGAAUAUAUAGCCAGAAAGAGUUGAAAAUAGAAACUCAGUUAAAUGCAUCCAUACCAAGGAUCAAAAUAGGAUUUUGCAAAAUAGCCCAAAGAUGAGUGGGUAAACAAAUGCACUACCUACAUACAAAUGCAAUAUUAUUUAAUCAUGAAAAGAAAUGAAAUUCUAAUACAUGCUACAGCACAGAAAAAUCUUGAAAACAUUAUAAUUGAAGUAAACCAGUUCAGAAAGAACAAAGAUCAUGUGGAUAUCACUUAUAUGAAGUAAAUUCAGAGAGACAGAAAAUACCAUAGAGCUUCCUGGGGAGAAGAAAGAGAAAUUUUUGUUAAAUGAGUACGGAGUUUACACUUGGUAGGGUGAAAACUUUCUGGAAGUAGGUUGUAGUGAUGGCUAUGCAACAUUGUGAAAGUACUUAAUUCCCCUGAGAUGUACACUUAAAAUAGCUAAAGUGGUAAAUUUUAUUACAUAUAUUUCAGCACAGUAGAAAAGGAACCAUGCAUGAGAACCACAGUACCACGCACACACACACAAAUUGCCCGUGCAACCUUCCAACACAGAGGUGCAGGCAAUUGCUUCCUCGGUAGUACUCCUAAAACUGAGGAAACAAGGCCAAGAAUUAAUAAUGGGAUGGCGUCAAAUUUAAAAGCUUCUUCAUGAUAAAAAAAGAACAAACAAACAAGGGCAUGAAGUGAGAUUUUACAGAACGAGAGAAAUUUUUAUCAGCUACUCUUCAGAGGAUUAAAAUCCAAAAAAAUUUAAAGAACUCAAAAAAAAGAAAAGAAAAACUUAGCAUCUAAAGUAUAAAUAACCCAAUUUGUAAAUGGGUAAAUGAAAUAAAUACAAAUUUUCAAAGGAAAAAUGUUAAAUGGCCAACAAAUAUAUAAAAAAUGUUGAGCAUCUUUAGCAAUUACAGAAGUGCAAAUCAAAACCUCACUAAUAUUUCUUCUCAUGCCAGUUAGAAUAUCAACCAUCAAGAAUACAAGCAUUAAUAAAUACUGAUGAGGAUGUGGGGGAAAAGGAAUAUUGAUACCCUGUUGGGAGGAUUAUAAAUUAGUACAACUCUAUGGAAAUCAGUAUGGUGGUUCCUCAAAAGACAGGGAAUGACCCUGCUGUAGGAUUCAACUAUAGUACUCCUUGGUGUUCUUCCAAAAGAACUGAAGUCAUCCUACAGUAAUACAUACAUUCUCAGGUUUAUAGCAGCACAAUUCACGAUGGCCAAGUUAUGAAACCAGCCUAGGUGUCCAUCAACAGAUGAAUGGAUAAACAAGAUGUGAUAUGUAUUCAAAACUGAAUUUUAUUCAGCCAUAAGGAAGAACAACAUUAUGUCAUAUGUAGAAAAAUGGAUAGAACUGGAGAGCAUGGACUCAGAAAGUCAAGGAUAGUAUGUUCUCUCUUAUAUGAGGAAGCUAGAGAGAAAGGAAAAAAAAGGGGGCAAGGGGUUUUCAUGAAAAUAGAAAGAAGACCAGCAGAGUAAAGGAAGGGGAUUGGGGCAGGGAGGAGGGAAAGAAAAGGGGAGGUACAGGGAGUGAAAUGGAUCAAAUUAUAUGGAUGUAUAAACACGUCAUAGUGAAUCCCACUAUUAUGCACAAUUAUAAUGCACCAAUGAAAAUGUUUUAAAAAGAACCCAUGAAUAAAGUUUCUUUUAGUUUUUUUUUCACCAUUAUGUGCCUAGCACUUUGUACAGUGCCGGGCACAGGAAGCAAGGACCUAGUGUACUUUUUCUUACUGAGUGAGCCCACACUCAGUCCAGCUCUGAGUCUAGAGCCAGCUGUGUAAGUGAUUUUCAAAGAGUGUUACACAUGGAUCUUGCAGACAAUUUCAAGUGGAGUUUGGGAUCUUCUUACCUGACAACACCACCACCCUUACUGUGUAUAUAGCACUGUAUCUCAUAGACAGAAAGUUUUUAUUUACUUUUUAAUUAGUAUUACUCUUUAAAAUUGCUACAGAGACUCUGUUGCUGUGUCUUCCACACUUUUCCAAAGCUUGUUAAUCUCUCUGUUUUGUUCCCUCCUUUUUCUCUCCUUUCUUUCCUUAAUUUUUUUUUGUUGUUGUUUGUUUCUUUGUUUUUGUAACAUUAAAACAAAGCCUCAGGCUCAUGCUCAGAUUUUCCCAUCCUCCAAAGGUAAAAACACUUGGAUUGCAAUCUUGCAAUCAUAUAAAUUGUAAUACUAUUUUGAAGGAUUUUUGUUUUUUUGUUUUGUUUUGUUUUGUGUAAAAGUGAUCCUGAUUCUUCAUGGGUGGCUCUAGUAAAACAUUUACAUGAAAUAUUUUACAUGAUUUGAUUUUUAAAAGUGUAAGCAAUAAUAAUACAGAUGGACAAUAGAUAUUGCAAAGGACAGGAAGGCAUUACCAGAAUGAAAAGUGAAUUAAAGCUGCCCUAACUCUAGGACCUCCCCAUAUUCCCAGGCUUGAGUCUACCUUUCUUUGUGUCUGUAGCAGUGCCCUUAAGAUCUAUCUCAGCACCUGCCCACCUUGCUUUCUGGCCCAGACUCUCUGCAGUCCCCUUGAGGUACAUCUCACACUGGGCACUUACAUAGCUUUGACAUACCUGGCUGAUAUUGGGAGAAAAGAACUGAGAGAGUCUGAGAGUGGCCCUCAACAUGGUAUCAUUGCUGUUUUUCUUUGUUCCAGUGAGAUCCCUGAAGAAAAAUAGUUAUUGCUGCUUUUCAUAUUCACUGUCUCCUACUUUUCUCCCCCAAACUGCUAAGUUUUCCACCAACUUACUUUAAUUUUCAGUGUCGAUUUCAAAUGAAUCCAAACAGUAUUUAAAAAAAUAUGAAGGACAAUUUGUAUCAUGGGGGAGUGUUGCCUUAAACUGUAGUGCAGUUAAUGAUUUUAUCUCAUCCACCUACCCCAAUACACAUGUGCAGAUGCACACAUGCACAGACAUGAACACACACACACACACACACACACAGGCACACAUAUUGUCCCUCUUAUAUUUUGGAAUUUAGCGCAAAUUAUAGUUUAUAUUUGUUUCUCUUUUUUUAAUGUGGCGCUAAGGAUUGAACCCAGUGCCUUACACAUGCUAGGCAAGUGCUCUGCUAUUGAGGUACAGCCCCAGCCCCUAAAUUACAGGUUAUAGAUACUAGACGAAAAUGAGUAGGCAGUUGGUUAGCUGAGUUCUCCAUUGGAAAGAAGAUUCAGACAUCCUCAUGGCAGUGUGAACCCAGAAACCACGUGGAGUGUGUAUGUGUGUAUGCGCAGGUACCAUAUUCCUACUAAAAACACGUUAACAUGUUUUUUCCUUCCUUAUUUUUCCAUGAACUCUUAGCUCCAGAGCAGCUCCCUAACUUCCUAACUGAAUUGCUAGGGAAUGAGAAGACUUUGGAAAGUGCAAACUUUAUUUCUACUUCCGUGUCAUAUUUGAUCUAAAGCCCUGUGAUAAAAUAAUUUUUAAAAGUAUAAAGUGCACAGAGGGCAGGAUGGAAUGUGUGCAGACAUGUAAAGAAGGGUCAGACAUACAACAAAACUCUUAAGCCUGACUUUUUUCCUCAAAAGCUCAUUACUAUUGAAAAAGAGAGGGAGAGAGAAUAAGUAAUGUGCAGGGCCACUCUGAAUUAAUCUCCAAGGAGAAAGCAUUCAAGCUUCACUGCAGACAGCUCCUUGCAUCAGGCUUUCCGCUUCACAGGAAUCAAAACCAUCAGCAAAGCUCUGGAGGGAGCAGGUACCUUCUUCUCUAGCAAAAGAGCUGUGAUGAGUGAUGAGAGAGUGGUCCAGGUUUCCAGGGUCUUUUCCUGCAACUUAUCAAUACACAUUAUUUUAUUGGCCAGCAUUCUCCUUGCUCUUUGUCUCUGACUCCACUUUAUUGAGUAGAGUAGAAAAAAAUACAUUUUUUUCUUGCUAUGCUAUUUCCCAAAUCUCGGCAUUACCACACUAUACCUGACUUCCAGUCCACUAAGACCAGCAUUCUCUUUCUGUCAGAAAUUAUAAAUGGAAUGACAUAUUUGUCACUCUUGCAAUGUUAGAACUCUGUCCCACUGUUGUCUGAUGUCUCUCAACCUUCAUGGUUCAGUGGCUCACUUAUGCAUGACUUAAAACAAUCUUCAAUCAGUUUGUAUUUUCAACCUGCUUCAUAUCUUACAUCAGUAUCCCUAAGGGUAAGAUGCCCUUCUUUUCUUACCAGUUGCCUUAGUCCUUUGGUUCUAAAUACCAUAUCCAAUGAGGAGGCAAAGAAGAGGACUUUAAACUCAGAGCCAAGCAUCUCAGAUCUCUGCUAAUUACUAGGCCCCCAACCUCUGAGUAAUAUUGAAGGAAUAUCCAAAAUCUUUGAAUCUAUUUUUUUUUUCAUUUGAUGAAAUGAAACAAUAAAUACUGACUUUCCAAUGUUGUUGCUAUUGUUCCCAGUUUAAAGGCAAAGAAUGGAAAUUGGUAUUAUUAGUUAAUACUCUUAGUUCACAUUCUAUCCAAAAUUGUUUUUUUGAAAAAUAAUCUAGCCAUAUUUAUAGAAUCUUUAUGAAAUGCAUGUAUCCACAUGGCAUGAUUGAAAAACUCUGUGACAUUAAAAAUAGAAAGUGAGAAUUUGUCCCCCAUUGCUGCUUAUCCUUAUCUAUUCCUUGAAAACUACUAUUUUAAUAAUUACUGGAUUUUGUUUUUACUAAUUUGUUAAGUAUAGCAUUUUAGUCUUUAUUUUAUAGAUCUUAGGCAAUAUUCUUAAAUUUUUAUAUCUUCUUUUAUUACUAAGACAUUUUUGUCUUUAUUUUCUCGAUUUUUCCUUUUUAUUUUCUCAGAAUAGUUCUAACUAUUUAUUCAUCCCAAACUUCUCCCAAAAGAGAAAAUGAGUAAAAGUAAAAGAAGAACCUUCCUCCAUUCUCCUCCUACAAUCCAGACUCUACUGGAUCAUUGUACCUGCCCAGAGAGAGUGCUGACCUGAGUACAAAGGUCACCCUGCACACUCCUGGAGGGGCCUCCAUAGAAACACUGGGUCCCUGUGUGGCAGCUGUUUAGAGGUUUACUUAUUUUUUCCAUCGCAAAAGAACAUCUGGAAAAUUGUUCUGAAUUCCCUUCCUAAUCAAUAUUUUGCCAGGAUCAAGGAACAUAGUUUGGUGUCCUUCUCUGUUUAAUAGUCUUUCAGCUGCAAUGGGAGUUGGUUUGACAAUAACAUAUCUUUCCCUUUUUUCCCAGCCUUUGCCUUCAGUUUUAAUAGCAGCCUGACUGGACUUGGAUUCUUGCAACUGUCAAGAUGAAUGAAAUGGAGUAUGAAUUCCAUUGCUUUGUUCUGCCGCAUCUCGGGCUUGUUUUCUAAACUAAUUAUCCACAGGGUGUAGCACUUUGUUUUGUUUCUCUGUGGCUGAGGAUGAAGCCUCACUAUAAAUCAAUGCCCUAUUCUUAUCUAGAAUUACAUAGUCAGAGAGCUCUGAAGAUGAUUGGAGAUGUUUGGAGGAAAGAUAGAUUUCUUACAAGGAAGAGUGAAAAGGACUUCUUAGCUUGUGCUUGAAAACAUUCAGGAGAAAUAGUGUAAGGAAUAUAAAUUAAGAACCCAUAUGUAGAAAGCUAAUAGCCUAUCUCUGUUUGCUGAAGAGUAAUAAAUAUUUUUAAUACAUUUAAUUUUGACUAAAGCAAAGCCUUUUGUUGGGUGAAGCAUUUACUCUACAAGAGUUACUCUCCAUAUGAUUAGUUACAAAACUUUUCUUCAUCAGAAUCAAUAAUAUGUAAGACUAGAAUAGAAAUUAAUGGGCACAUUAGCCCUUCCAAUGGGUCAUAAGUCUAAUAAGGCCUCAAACUAAAUCCUGCUCUGUUAUACAUUGAUGAUCUUCCAUAAGUUACCAAAUUGCUCUGAAUUUUAGUUUUCUUACCAUAAGUUAGUGAAACAAAUAUACCUCCAGGUAAUAGUUACCUUUUUGUUCUUCUUCUGUCUCCUUCCUCUAUCAGUUCUGAGCUAAGAAAUGAUGGGACCCCAUUUCCUGAGCCUUAGGUUUGGUUAAGUGACCCAGGAUAAGCCAACCAGAGAACUCUAAACCUCUGGCUGUGAUUAUUGAUACACAGAUGGAUAUGUGACCCAAGGAAGUUUCCCCAAUGCUCUUGCCUGGGCCUUCCCUGCAGAAUCAAGCAUAGGAGAAGCAGUACUUGAUUCACCUGCUUUUUGCCACUGUUUGCCCACCAUUCUUGUCACUGAGAGGAAACACUUCUAUGGAACAGGGCACAGGAGACCAAGGCACAAAGAGUCAGCAGGAGGAGAACAAGCAAGUAAUGGAUUCAAUAAUGACUAAUCUAUAAUUUCUCUAGAAUGUUUUUCCUGUUAGAAACCUUCAAUUAUUAUUACUGAUUUUAAUGUUAAUAUUUAUAUCUUCAACCCUUUUCAUUAUUACUUAAAUGCAUAACUUUAAUGUUAGUAUUUUAUUUUUUAUUUUGCUUUUUGUAACUUGAGUUGUUAGACUUUGUUUAUAUUUUAAGAGCUCUGAUUAAAGAUUACUCUACAGAGUUGUAGAGGGUGUUAAAUAAGGUAAUAAGUGGAAGGAAUUUAGCAGAAAAUACCACCCAAAUGAAGCACUUGUUUCACUAUUACUUCCAAUAUUAUUUUACUGAGGCUCAGAGAACUUAAGUAAUGUGCCCAAGAUUAAAUAGCUCCAAUAACACAGCAAACCAAGUUUUAAACUGAGAUCUUUUUGACUCUAAGGUUUAUGUUUGGGACACUGCAGUAAGAUGUUACAUUUAUUUUUGUGUCAUUUAGAAGCAUGUUGUGGAGCAUAUGGCUGUGUUUCCUUGUUUCUUUCCCCAUUAUCUUGUCAUAUUUCUUGACUGUUCUUAGGAAGUAUAGUGCUAGUGUGGCCUUGCUGGAGUGGAAUGGAUUUCCUGACCUCUGAAGAGUAGCCUGUUUUUCUUAGUUGAUAAAGAAAAAAAAAAAAAGCUAAGUCCAGAGAGAUCUCUGGUGAGUAGGUGAAACUCCAGAGGUUUACAUUAAAGGGUCUUCAUCGUGGUUCUUCAUCAUGUAAAAGCUGCCUCCAAUCCCAAGCCCUGAGUCUUUCACCACACCCUGGCAAAGGUUCAUCUCACACCAGCCUUUUUCAAUGCAAACUGCCAGCCCAGCCAAGCAGCCAUUUAAUGGACCUCAGGGCUGGCUUCCUAAGAGAGUUCUAUCAGGGACAGUUUACUGCAUGUAUGUUUUAGACAGUUUCAUGGCCUGCAAAGGUCCUUGAUAAAAGACAUACCCUCCUGCUUUUCAAUCCAGAAAGAAACAUUGAUUUUUGUUUUUUAUCCUCAACAGUAUUCCUUUCUCCCCAUACCUCCCCAUCCUCCCUGCUCAACUUUCUAUUGGAGAAAAAAGAAGUAGGGAUAUAGUCUGUUCCCUUAUGAAUGAAAGUCAGAUUUUAGUACCAAGACUGAAACACGUGUGCAAGAGACUCUGAAGUACAGGAGGAGUGUGCCUGUAAGUAAACAUGAGGAGUGUUGCAGUGUGUGUAUGUGUGUGUGUGUGUGUAGUGUGGUGUGCAUGUGCACGCACAUGCAUGCUCACAAACCUCAGGGUACUUAAUUCACAUGCUUCAAAGUCCAAAAGUGAAUAAUUCCCACUUGAUGCUCAUACCUGUCUAAUAUGGUGGACAGAGUUUAGAGUGGCUCCCUAAACCCUGCAUCCUCGGCCUCAGACCUUGUAUAAUCCCCUUUACUUGACUGAGGACAGUACAUUUUCUUUCUUCUAGAACAGAAGGUAGCCAAGGUGAUGUGACAUGGUAUCAGAGUCCUCUGCUGGCUGACUUGCUCUUGCUCUCCUGUUCCCUAGAAGCAAGCUUCUGUGCUGGGACUUUCCAGAGGGCUACCUGGGAAGGAACUUUGGGCUGCCUCUGGGAGUUGAGGACAGUCUUCAGUUGACAGCAAGAAAUCAAAGCUCUUGGUUCUAUAGUUCUGUAGCCACAAAGAAAUGACAACCUGAGGGACUUUGCAGGCAAGUUCUUUUCCCGUCAAGCCUCUGUAGGAGGCUCACCCGGCCAGUUCCUUGGCUGGAGUCUAGUGAGACCCUGAACCAGAGGACGUAGUUCAACAGGAUCUGAACUCUUUAUCCAUGGAAUCUGGGAUAUCUAAACCUGCGUUUAGCAAAUUUAGCCAAUAAAUUUGCAGUCAUUAUGCAGCAACACACAACUCAACAGAUAUCAAAUUAUGAAUGGAUUGUUUCAAUCUGCAUAAUUAGUAUAAAAGAAGGAGUUUGCUGUCAAAUCUUUCUGGUUCUCAAUGUUGACUACAGCUCUUAUUUUUAUGUGUAUUUUGGGGAAAUUUAUUUAAGGUCUGAGUUUAGCUUAAAAUUUUUAAGCUGUAAAAAGUAAACAAGCAAACAAAUAGUAAACAACAACAAAAAAUACAUAGCCUUAGUACUGAGCUCACAGGAUGGUUAUAACUUUAAGGGAGUUAAUUCACACAGUGAGCUCUCCAGAAAUGUUGCCUGGAUUUAACGUCCUGGAUAACCUCUGGCCCAGUUAACCUCUUUUUCCCAUAGUAUUUUAUUGAAUCACCUUUAUUUCACCUCAGGACUAGAUUGUGAGUUCAAAACGAAAAAAAAGAACCUUGUUUUCUUCAUCUUGAAAUCUCCAGCAAAAACAUCCAGUGCAGCUAGCAAGUAGACAUAAUCAAUAAUUGUCAGAUAUGCAGAUUCCUGGGUCCACACUAGAGGUUCUGAGCACAACAAUAUGGUAUUUGUUGGAACUUCACAAAGUGAUGAAUCAUGUUCGUGUUUACUCCUUUAACCCCAAGGAUAAUUGAUGUGCCAAGGAUUAAAAACUAAGAUGGAUAAAGAUUCUUUUUUUUUUAAUUAAAAGCAGAGAUUCUCGCAAAUAUACUUUACUAAAUUGCUGACAACUAGACAGUGCAUUGAUGGCUCCUGGACAUCAAUGUUGUCUGAUAAAUAGAAAAUUCUAGGCACUUACCUUAAAAACAUCUAGGUUGAAAGAUCUAGAAGAGGCCUAAGAUAUCAUGAGCCUCAAUCAGGGAAGCUUUACAAAUGUCCAUUUUGCCUGAAAUGUGAAUUGUGACGGGGUCACACUGGGAGGACUGAGAGAUCACAAUGUGACCCCCUAGUCUUCCUAUCCCGGCAUAUAUACCAGGCUUCAAUGAGACUUCACCACGUCCUUCAUUAAGAGUCUAUUUACUCCACUUUGAAACUGUGCUGGCUUAUGACUUGUACUGACCAGCAGACGUUGGCCAGAGUGGUAUGAGGAGACUUCCAAAGCUGAGUCACAGAUGGCUUUGGGCUUCUACCUUCACACUCUUGGGCACAGUGUAAUGACCAGCACACAAGCCAGGCCAGCCUUUCAGAGAGUGAGAGGCGACGUGGGAACUGAGACGACCAGAUAACAACCCACAGUAACUGUGAGACCCCUAGAUGGCCCAACACCCCUGCCCUGCUCAUGCAGCCUCAUGAACAAGACCAAGGAAAGCUUAUCCAAGAAUCGCACAAUCAUCCACCCCCAGGAUCAUGAAUAAGAACUGAUCACUACUGUGUGCAGGGCAGCUCUGGGUUGUUAUCAAGGCAGUGUAGCUGGCAUCUAGGACACAUGCAACAGGGCUGUGCUAUCCAAAGUGAAAACCUAGUCAUUUAUCCACGUUGCCAUUUUGUAGCCAAAGCAAUCUAGUUUCUAGUCCUGUAUCUAAUUACCAUAUUAUAUGGCAUACAAAUUUGUACUUGAAAAUAUUCAGGAGAAAUAUGCUAUACCUCCUUUUUAAAUUUAAUUACUGUACUUCUCUUCUCUUAAGUGACUUGGUAUCAUCUGCAUCAGAUUAAAUUUGAACACCUCAGAGAGCCCAUGUGGCUUUCACUUUGAGUUCUGGGCCCUUCCAUCUCUCCAGGGUAUCUUUUCUCAUUGUGUUCCACUGACCACAGCUCCAACCCCAACCCCAACAUACUCUUCACUUCUACUCCAGAUAUGCCUGCUGUUUCUGUUUUAUCUAGAGCACCCUCUAUAUCAUCUCCUUCCCUGCCCAGUGCCUACCCAUCCUCCAAAGCUCUGUAGGAUCGCCUCCUGCAGGAAGUCCUCUGUGUCUCCUUCAGCCUCAGGAUGCCUCUCCAAGCUCCCCUGUAUUACAUGUGACAUAAAGUAAUUCCUCACUAAAAUUGUGUAAAAUUCAUGAAUAUUUUAAAUGUAUCCUUGGUGUUCAGUAGAGUACUUUAUAUACUCCAGGUAACUAUAGAAGGAUUAUUUUUUCUUUUCUAAAAAUUAAGAUACAAUUUUUUUCUUUUUUUAUCUAUAUAUGACAAUGGAAUGCAUUACAAUUCUUAUUACAUAUAUAGAGCACAGUUUUUCAUAUCUCUGGUUGUAUACAUAGUAUAUUCACACCAAUUCAUGUCUUCAUACCUGUACCUUGGAUAAUGAUGAUCAUCACAUUCCACCAUCAUUAAUAACCCCAUGCCCCCUUCUUUCCCCUCCAACCCCUCUGCCCUGUCUAGAGUUUGUCUAUUCCUCCCAUGCUCCCUCUCCCUAUCCCACUAUGAAUCAGCCUUCUUAUAUCAAAGGAAACAUUCGGCAUUUGGUUUUCCAGGAUUGGCUAACUUCACUUAGCAUUAUCUUCUCUAACUCCAUCCAUUUACCUGCAAAUGCCAUGAUUUUAUUCUCUUUUAUUGCUGAGUAAUAUCCCAUUGUGUAUAUACGCCACAUUUUUUUUUAAUCCAUUCAUCUAUUGAAGGGCAUCUAGGUUGGUUCCAUAGUUUAGCUAUUGUGAAUUGUGCUGCUAUAAACACUGAUGUGGCUGUGUCCCUGUAGUAUGCUGUUUUUAAGUCCUUUGGUAUAGACCAAGGAGAGGGAUAGCUGGGUCAAAUGAUGUUUCCAUUCCCAGUUUUCCAAGGAAUCUCCAUACUGCUUUCCGUGUUGGCUGCACCAAUUUGCAGUCCCACCAGCAAUGUAUGAGUGUGCCUUUUUUUAAAAAAAAUAGUUAAAAAAGAAAUAGAACUUAUUAUUGAGCCAUUGACUUUUGGGAUUAUUUGUCACACAACAAAAGCUAAAUGUAUGUGUAUGCUUCUCCCCAAACUCAUCAACACACACACACACACACACACACCACAAGUGUGUGCAUACACAUGGCAUUGUUUAUUGCUACCUAUUCAAUGACAGUAUGCUUUCCACACUGUAGACAUAUUUGGGUCAAGGGAAAAAGCAAGCAAAUGAACAAGCAAGAAAUGCAAACUAUGUACUUAUUUGCUGUGGCUAUUUACUUCUAGGUAAAAUAAAAUGGCACAGUGCCAUCCUCAGGGUGAAAUGCAGAGGGUAUGGAACACAGGGCAGGCUCCCCUGGUGUCUCCUUUGCUUCUCUAUAUGCCCAUGUUUCCUAGGCUGCUGCUUUACUCUUGCUUUUUUAUCGCAUUAUUAACUUAUAACUCCCAGUUGCUGCAGUUUCUCUGUGUGUGUGUGUGUGUGUGUGUGUGCAUGUGUUUGUCUGAGUUUCUGUGUGUGUGGCUUUUGUUUGUUUUUCAUCCAAAUCUCUUCCCAGGAAGAAAUGAAAAUGUCACUCAAACUCUAGUGAGAGUGUCAGUCAAUGUCAAAGACACAUUGUUCACUUCGUCUUUCCCUCAUUGCUUCAUUUUGUGAACCAGUCUCUUAAAUGCAAUGUGAUAAAGAAGGGGUCAGUCAAAGGGCUCUGCUGCCCAAUCAGGUCAAUCAAAGGCUUCUUUGAAGAGAUAAGUUUAGAUGCCACCAGAGGCAGGACCUCCCUCCUGAGAUCCUGAUCGUGAGUAAUCAUGUGAACUUGUAAGUCUCGCUUCUUCCUAACAGGAGAGAAUCUGCCACAAAAUUAAGGUAUCCCAUAGGAAAGUCGGUGACGGGGAUAAUGCGUUGUGUUUCUGCAUUUGUUAAAGAUGUGACUUGAAACCUUGGAUUCAGUCAUUUCAUGUGUGUGUGAUAUAAUAUAUACAUAUAUUUUGAUAAUAUGAUCAAAUUAUUUUUUUCCUUUCAACAAGCUCAAAAUUUUUUCUCUCCAAGUAAAAAGACCUGCAGUUAAUAUAUAGACACAAAAUUUUCUGGUGUCUUUGUACUGUAUUUAAACCCUUGUCUCUAAUAAUGGGAUGGAAAUGCUAUUUUUCUAUUAAAGGCAUUUCAGCCUUCAAAAUAUCAAAGAUGUUUACAUGGGAGUACAGCAAAAAUUACAUGCAUAAAGUAUGUGAAUGCUUCUUAUAUGUGUGUGUUCCAGCACAGUCCUUUAUGUGCAUUCUUUUAACCUAAGAUUAUUAAGUAUAAGGUGCAAAAUUUAAUGUGUAUGCAUGUGUGUGUGUGUGUGUGUGUACAUAUGUGUUCUGAACAGAUGGAACAAUAGGCUCUAGGAGCUGUCUAAAUCUUUCUUUGAUUCCACAAAGGUAUUGCUGUGUGACAUUAGGCAAAUCACUUGUCUCUUCUGAAUACCUAAUCUUCCCCAUUGCUAAAAUAAAGCUGUUCAUGGUCAUUUGCAGUGCUAUAAAGACAGUCAUUGGGAAACUUCUACCAAGUCAAUAGUAAAUAAUUUCAAAGAAGUUAAAAAGGAACUAACUCUCUAGAAUAUUUACUCAAUAAGCACUGACUAGUGCAAAAAUCAUGAUUAAUCUGGAGAAUGCACACUUGGGCCCAGAAGUAGGACCUGAAGUUCUGCAAGGAAGUGAAUUGAACAAUUCCAGACUCACCGAAGGGCAAGGCUGAGUGUGCAUCUCCAUAUGGAAAUGUAACUGUGGACUUACAGCUGCUGCUGCAUAAAGCCUUUGGAUGCUAAUAGUCUUUGUGGUUUUCUCCCUUUUAUUUCCUUCCUUCCUGUAGGUUGCAGCUUCUAUCCCACCUCCCCCCUAAUGAGCCUGUGGGAGGGUGGAAAGCAGGACUCAGAAUGUUGGCCAUCAAGUGGGAGAGGAACUGUGGAAAGAGGGAAGUGAACUGGAGGAAGCUGACCAAGAUUUUUCUUGAGACAAAAAAUAAAGGCUACCAAGUUGGUGAGAAGGAGAAAGAGCUAUACAUCACCUGAUUAGAACAGGUAAGAGGGUCCUGACCCCGUCUUAGGUAGGCUCCCAAAGAAAAAUGUCUGUUUUUGACAUUUGGGAGAUAAUCUGUGGACAAGGAAGGAGGAAUGCUCUCCCUAAUGUGGGUGGUUCUCAUGUAAUCAGUUGAAGGCCUAACUAGAACCAAAGUUUGACCCUCCUGUGAGUGCGAGGGAACUUCUCCCACAUGACUGCAUUGAGGUGGGUUAUGUAGUUUUUAAUUUUUUUUUAAAUUUUAUUCAUGUAUAUUAAUUGUGUAUAUUAAUGGGUUUUGGUGUGAUGUUUCAAUACAUGUAUAUGAUGUGAAUUGAUUAAAUCCAGCCAUUCUUUAUCCAUUUUCCCUCUCCUUUUCAAUCCCUAGUAAUUCCUACCCUACUUUCAGGUCAACUUUUUUAACUUCCACAUAUAACAGAGAACAUGCAUUGCUUGUCUGUCUGUGUCUAGUUUAAUUCAUUUAAGAUAAUAUGCUGCAGUUCCAUCCAUUACACUGCAAAGGACAAGAUAUACUUUUUUAUGACUGAGUAAUAUUCCAUUGUGUGUAUACACCACUUUUUCUUUAUCAUUCACCUUUGACGGGCACCUAGGUUGAUUCCCUAUCUUGGUCAGUGAAUAUUGUCGUGAUAAAUAUGGGUAUGCAGUUAUCUCUUUGUUAUGCUGAUUUCAUAACCUGUGAAUAUGUACCCAGAAGUGAAAUAGCUGGGUCAUAUGGGAGAUCUGUUGCACUUCAUACUCUUCUCUACACCAGUAGAGUAUAGGGCUCCCUUUCCUCCACAUACUCACCAAUAUCCGUUAUUGCCUUUUUGAUAACAGUCAUUUUGACAGGGGUGAGAUGAUACUUCAUUAUAGUCUUCAUUUUCAUUUUCAUGAUGCUAUUGAGGGCUUUUUAAAAUAAAUAAAUAUAGAUUUAUUAUCCAUUUGUGUUUCUUCUCUGAGAAGUGUCUAUUCAGAUCAUUUGCACACUUUUAAUUGGAUUGCUUGUUGUUUGAUUGGUGAGUUUUUGAAUGCCUCACAUAUUCUACAUGUGAAUUCUUUGUCAGAUGAAUAGUUGUCAAAUAUAUUCUCCCAUCCUAUAAUUUAUUUCUUCACUUCAUUUCAAUAGGGUUUUGUUUUGUUGUGUUUGUUUUUCCUACCUUCAGACUCAAAUUAAAAUAUGAGCUUUUCCUGAAUUUCAAAUCUGCUCUCCUUGCCUGGAACAAGAGCAUCAGCUCUCUGGGGUCUUCACCUUGCCAAUUGCAGGAUCUGACUCUUGUCAGACUCCAUCACCAUGUGACCCAAUCACUUCAUAUGUUGCUUACUGCAUUGGUUCCGUUUCCCUGAACCUGACUAAGGAAGACAUAAAAGACCAUCACAACAGCUGCUUCUCCCUUACUUUCCUCUAAUAUAAAGGAAGAAACUUUAAACUCAUUUAACUUCCAAGGCUUCCUUAUAGUUAGUGGAACCUGAAUGACUCAUUUUUGACCAAUGUGCUGACCAAGUGGAAGGCUUUAGGCAGGACUUCCAAAGAAGUGUUUUAAAAUAAAGGAACUAUGCUGAUGAAAUGCUCUGGCUCUGGCAUGGAAGUCAGCACCCCCAAUGUGACUGUGGGCAUGACAGACACCCACUAAAAAGGGCUGCGUUUGAACAUGGGUGAUGUUUGGCGGUUGGGGGCAUAGAUGAGUUGCCAUAUAAUCCUAUAAUUAACUUCCUUGAGGUUUGUCUUUCCUUGAGGAGAAAUAAAUUAAGUCUUCUUUACAUUUAUUUUGUAUUUUUGAAGCCAAAUUUAUAGUUGACCUAUGUAUGGCAAAAUUUUGAAAAUUUAUACAAUGUAUUUAUCUGGCAGUUGGGGCUUAAUUAAAUUUAAAAUGCUAUAAAGAUUAUCAUCUUCAAAAUUUAUGUUUUCUUCUAAACAUGAAUAGAGAAGCAACUCUAAAUAGAUCUAAAGUCCUUGAUGUGAUGCCUACUAAUGAGAAUCUACAGCUGCUAUAUACAGAUGUUCUUUGUUGUAGAUUUCACUCUCAGUUGGGGCCAAAGUCAUUUUUCAUUCCCAAGCAAUGGGCCUUGAUGUCCUGGGCCUCCAAACGUGGUCCAUCUUUUUUGACAGACAGUGACUCUAGGUCUUUCUGGGUAAGAGGCUGAUCCAAGAGAUCCAGGGUUCAGGUAAAAGACUGGUAUCAGUGACUAUCCAAGGGAUUCCAGGGGAAAGACGAUUGUCUAGACAGCUUGCAGAGAACUUUAUGAGGGGUUGAAUGGAAAGGUGGCCUGCUGAUUUAUAGCAAGGAAUUGAAACUAAAAAUCCAUUAAAAAAAAGUGGUUAUUGUGGUGCUUGAGUCAAACACAAACCACUGAAAUCAUAUUUGAUUAAUAAUUCAAAAAGCAGGUAAUUAGAAGCCUCACUGGUAGUUUAAAAAUGUAGGGUAAGUUUAUAUUUUAAAAAAGGGGGGGUGGGGUGGGCUAGAGAUAUAGCUCAGUUGGUAGAGUGCUUGCCUAGCAUGCACAAGGCCCUGGGUUCAAUCCACAGCACCACAAAAAAAGAAAAGAAAAAACAAAAAGGAAUAGAGAAAUUAGAUAAGGAAUGAAGAGAUUAGGAACUACCCAAUAAUAUCACUUAUAAUGAAUUAAAUUAAUUUAAACCCUUUUUCCCCUUUCCUACUUCCUACUCUACUAAAGUACCAAACCCUGCAAGAGAGGUCACUCUUUCCCAAGUCAAGUUUAAGUCAAACUUCUCCCAUGGCCCAACAAGUUUAGUGAAAAGAUGGACUAUGGAAAUCCAAUUUUACAGAGGCUCCGAGGAACCAAAUCAGCUUCCUUUUGAGAGGACUGAGCUUCCUGACCAGCAAAUUCAACAAGCCUGCACACCAAGCCAGGGACCAACAAAGAAGGAGAUCUGAGUGCUGUGAAAGGCUAGAGCGUAGGAAGUUCAUGGAGUUACUGCAGUUCAUAUGAGCUGCAGUAAACAUCCGUGUACAUGCUUCCUUAGCAAGUGACUAACAUUUUCUCUAGUGUACCUGCCAAGAAGUAGAAUUGCUGAAUUAUACAGUAAAUGUGUUUAAAAUCUAAAUUAUCCCUGUUGGACCACCCCCACUACGGCCAAGCUAUACCCCAAGAGCUGGUAGAGUUCCAUCUGUUUCUACUCAUUCUUGCCAAGAGCUGGUCCUACAAGGCUGUGUACUUUUUGCCAAUAAAUGCCUUAAAAUCUUUUAAGGGUCACUGAAUCCAGACAGGCAGAGAUUUGUCUACAUGAAAGACUGAGCAUGGUAGACUAUUAUUACAGGGCAAUACACUGCUGUGGUGCUGAGGCAGCUGAAGAGGCCUCUUCAAACCCUGAUCAUAUGAUCAUGCCACAGAGAUGUCAGUCAUGUCAAUCAGAGUAACAGACAUGAGUUUAUUAGAAGGGAUAGGAAAGAGGGAAAGGCGACAUUCAAGGGAGAGAGUGGGUCUUCUCAUAGGGGAGAGGGACAGUGCAGCCCUCCUGCCCUCCAGUUUUAUUAGGAGUCUCAGGGAUGUUUCCAAAGAGCCCUGCCCAGGUCAUCUUUUGGCUUUUGACUGAUAGCAUGGGAACUGCAAUGUCUACCUCGGAGAGGAGGGUGUGGUGCUCACAGAGCUGACAUUUAGGAAACUGAGUUCCCUGUUUGUGCCUCCUCCUCAACAAAGUUUUCUUGGGAGGGUCUCGAUGAUUUGAUUGCCAGGGUCGGUGAUUAUGGUUUGUGAUGGGUGUUGGUAAGGGAGGAUCUGGGUCACCUAGUAAGGUGUAAAAUGAUCUUAAAACAACAGUUUUUUUUUUUUUUAAAGGGGGUGUAAUUAUGACCAGGGGAGGUUCUAACAGUCUAGCUUCUCAUCUCCCAGGUGCUUAUCUUUCAGAUGGGGCUCCUGUGCUUUUUAGCCCAGCCUCCUUGUCCUUGUCCUGCUCACACAUCCCUGGCUGACCAACCACUUCACAAGAUGAGAGGAAGAAGGCAGUGAGAGGAGCUACCAUCCUCAGACUCGCAUUGCCUGAGGGAGGGAAGGACAAAUACUAACUCUCCCACAGUCACGGAGUCGACCAAAGCACAUUGUAUGAUGGUCCAUUUCCAUCUUGGUUUGAUCUGUUCCUAGAGAAGGUAUUUAUCUACCUCUUGAUCCAUCCAUUUCUCCUGAAGUGUGCCUGUAAAUGCUCACUCUCCUAGGGGCUGUAAGGAAAGAAAGAGGAAGCAGGAAACGUCUAAUUUCAAGAAGUUCCUUAGUCACGGAGAUUAUAGCUCAGCAGUCCUCAAACUUAAAGAUGCAUUUUUUUUUGUUUGAUCAGCAAAAUGUUUCAAGUUUUUAAAAAU
rnacentral:lncRNA from 1 species